rnacentral:rRNA from 1 species
AAUAGAUACCCUGGUAGUCCACGCCGUAAACGUUGGAUACUAGGUGUGGCGGUUAUACCAAUGACUGCCGUGCCGAAGCUAACGCAUUAAGUAUCCCGCCUGGGGAGUACGGCCGCAAGGCUAAAACUCAAAGGAAUUGACGGGUCCCCGCACAAGCGGCGGAGCAUGCGGCUUAAUUCGAUGCAACCCGAAGAACCUUACCUGGGUUUGACAUCACGGGAAAAGCUGUAGAAAUACAGUGUCCGUAAGGGCCCGUGACAGGUGGUGCAUGGCUGUCGUCAGCUCGUGUCGUGAGAUGUUGGGUUAAGUCCCGCAACGAGCGCAACCCUUGUCCUAUGUUGCCAGCAGUUCGACUGGGGACUCGUAGGAGACUGCCGGGGAUAACUCGGAGGAAGGUGAGGACGACGUCAAGUCAUCAUGCCCCUUAUAUCCAGGGCUGCACGCAUGCUACAAUGGCCGGUACAACGGGCAGCGACCCCGCAAGGGUGAGCGAAUCCUAUAAAGCCGGUCCAGUUCGGAUUGAAGUCUGCAACUCGA